UCAGGGGUGCGGGAAAAGUCCGCCUUUGACGUCCCACUAACGGUCAAGCUCGAACUUUUCCUGCGCCACCGUG
rnacentral:pre_miRNA from 1 species